rnacentral:rRNA from 1 species
UACGGAGGGUGCGAGCGUUGCUCGGAAUCAUUGGGCGUAAAGCGUACGCAGGCGGCUCGAUAAGUCGGGUGUGAAAGCCCAGGGCUCAACCCUGGAAAUGCGCCCGAAACUGCCGAGCUUGAGUGCGGGAGAGGGAAGCGGAAUUCCUGGUGUAGAGGUGAAAUUCGUAGAUAUCAGGAGGAACACCGGUGGCGAAAGCGGCUUCCUGGCCCGAUACUGACGCUCAUGUACGAAAGCGUGGGGAGCAAACAGG